rnacentral:rRNA from 1 species
CCCUUAGAUGUCCUGGGCCGCACGCGCGUUACACUGAUGCAUUCAACGAGCUUAUAACCUUGGCCGAGAGGCCAGGGCAAUCUUGUUAACGUGCAUCGUGAUAGGGAUAGAUUAUUGAAAUUAUUAAUCUUGAACGAGGAAUUCCUAGUAAACGCAGAUCAUCAAUCUGCAUUGAUUACGUCCCUGCCCUUUGUACACACCGCCCGUCGCACCUACCGAUUGGAUGGUCCGGUGAAGCCUCGGGAUUGUGGUUCUUGCCGCUUUAUUGUGGCGUGACCGCGAGAACUUGUCUAAACCUUAUCAUCUAGAGGAAGGUGAAGUCGUAACA